GCUAGAAUGGUGUAAUGGUUUGAGCUUUGGACUACAACUCUGGAGACCAGGGUUCAAUUCCCCGCUUGGCCA